UACGAAGGGUGCAAACGUUGCUCGGAAUUAUUGGGCGUAAAGCGCACGUAGGCGGCUUGGCAAGUCGGAUGUGAAAUCCCUCGGCUUAACCGAGGAACUGCCCUCCAAACUGCUUGGCUUGAGUCCGGGAGAGGUGAGUGGAAUUCCCAGUGUAGCGGUGAAAUGCGUAGAUAUUGGGAGGAACACCAGUGGCGAAGGCGGCUCACUGGACCGGAACUGACGCUGAGGCGCGAAAGCGUGGGGAGCAAACGGG
rnacentral:rRNA from 1 species